rnacentral:pre_miRNA from 1 species
GUCGGAGGAGCGGGACGAGUGCGACGGGAUGGCGACCGUCGCCGGCGACAGGUUCCUCGCCGUGAGCGGGUACCGCACGGCGAGGCAGGGCGGGUUCGAGCGCGACGCCGAGUGGUUCGACCCGGCGGCGCGCGCGUGGCGCCGCCUCGACCGCGUCCGCGCCCCUCCCUCCGCCGCCCACGUCGUGGUCCGCGGCCGCGUCUGGUGCAUCGAGGGCGCCGCCGUGAUGGAGUGGCUCGGCUCGCGCGGCGGGUGGCGCGAGGUCGGCCCCUCCCCCCCGGGCCUCAAGGCCGGCACCGCCCGCGCCGUCUGCGUCGGCGGCGGCGAGCGCGUCGUCGUCACCGGCGCCAUCGAGGACUCCGACGGCGGGUCCGGCCGCCACGCCCUCUGGGUGUUCGACGUAAAGACCAAGAACUGGACCGUGGUUCGCCCACCUCCAGAGUUCGCCGGAUUCGCCUUCUCCGUCGCCGCCGUCCGCAUCUGAUCCG